UUUAUAGCUAAGUCUAUACCAUUAACUGUUUACUAUAUGCUCUUCCUUAUUUGAGUAUAUGGCAAAUUAUAUAGGUAUUGAACCAUUUUGGUUACAAGGUUAGGAUGUUUAUUUGGUCUGUUAACACUGUUAUUAGCACUUUUAUUUAUUUGGCAUUUUAAACAUCUAGCUUCUGAGUGCCAUCCUCAAAACAAUUUGAUGUCAUUCUAAGUUACUAGGAAUACAAACACAAAUUCAUAUUUAUCAAUUAUUUCAAAUAUUGGUCUCUGUGAUAAUUCAGAUUUUUCAAUUUAUAAUUACCUUUCCUGUUUUAGCUUGUUGGAGGUUUAUAGAUUGCCUGGGUCAUAGUAAGGGGUGUUUUAUUCCCCAGAGAUUCGGUUAGACUAAGAGCAGAUCUUAUUUAUAACUCUAUGUUCACAGAAUGUAAGAUCACUUUAAAUACUAAUAGAUUGUUUUAAAGUACUUAAAAAAAAUAAAACUAAGUUUCAUUUCUCUUAAGAAUAAUUGAUUACAUUUGAUAGAUU
rnacentral:lncRNA from 1 species